GAUGAACGCUGGCGGCGUGCCUAAUACAUGCAAGUCGAGCGAACAGACGAGGAGCUUGCUCCUUCGGCGUUAGCGGCGGACGGGUGAGUAACACGUAGGUAACCUACCUAUAAGACUGGGAUAACUUCGGGAAACCGGAGCUAAUACCGGAUAAUAUUUCGAACCGCAUGGUUCGAUAGUGAAAGAUGGCUUUGCUAUCACUUAUAGAUGGACCUGCGCCGUAUUAGCUAGUUGGUAAGGUAACGGCUUACCAAGGCAACGAUACGUAGCCGACCUGAGAGGGUGAUCGGCCACACUGGAACUGAGACACGGUCCAGACUCCUACGGGAGGCAGCAGUAGGGAAUCUUCCGCAAUGGGCGAAAGCCUGACGGAGCAACGCCGCGUGAGUGAUGAAGGUCUUCGGAUCGUAAAACUCUGUUAUUAGGGAAGAACAAACGUGUAAGUAACUGUGCACGUCUUGACGGUACCUAAUCAGAAAGCCACGGCUAACUACGUG
rnacentral:rRNA from 1 species